AAAGAAUACCAAUUGCGAAGGCAGCUUUCUGGAUCAUUACUGACACUGAGGAACGAAAGCAUGGGUAGCGAAGAGGAUUAGAUACCCUCGUAGUCCAUGCCGUAAACGAUGUGUGUUAGACGUUGGAAAUUUAUUUUCAGUGUCGCAGCGAAAGCGAUAAACACACCGCCUGGGGAGUACGACCGCAAGGUUAAAACUCAAAUGAAUUGACGGGGACCCGCACAAGUAGUGGAGCAUGUGGUUUAAUUCGAAGAUACGCGCAGAACCUUACCAACACUUGACAUGUUCGUCGCGACUUUAAGAGAUUAAAGUUUUCGGUUCGGCCGGACGAAACACAGGUGCUGCAUGGCUGUCGUCAGCUCGUGUCGUGAGAUGUUGGGUUAAGUCCCGCAACGAGCGCAACCCUCACUUUUAGUUGCCAUCAUUUAGUUGGGCACUCUGAAAGAACUGCCAGUGAUAAGCUGGAGGAAGGUGGGGAUGACGUCAAGUCCUCAUGGCCCUUACGUGUUGGGCUACACACGUGCUACAAUGGUAUCUACAACAGGAAGCAAGACGGCGACGUUAAGCAAAUCCUCAAAAGAUACCUCAGUUCGGAUUGCACUCUGCAACUCGAGUGCAUGAAGCUGGAAUUACUAGUAAUCGUGGAUCAGCGUGCCACGGUGAAUGCGUUCCCGGGUCUUGUACACACCGCCCGUCACACCAUGGGAGUUGGUUCUACCUUAAGGCAAGGUUUUAUACCCUUGACCACGGUAUAGUCAGCGACUGGGGUGAAGUCGUAACAAGGUAGCCGUAGGGGAACCUGCGGCUG
rnacentral:rRNA from 1 species